rnacentral:lncRNA from 1 species
AUUGCCCAAACUAAAGUACUUGAUUCAGUUACCACCUACAUUGAAAGGAUGCAUAUCUCAUCUUAAGCUAAAUAACAUGUAUGAAAGCCCUAUAUAUACUCCCCGCAAAGAAAAAGCCCUAUAUAUAGCACAUACCUGAUGGGUCAGACAUCUGAAGCUUUGGUAAUAUGAACUCCCAGCAGUUUUAAAUAAGAAACCAGCACAUAUUCAUUUCCUAUUCCAAGAUAAAGGGACUAAGAAGUAUAUUAAGUUUUUAUUUAGUGAAUAACAUUCUAAAAAGAAAAUGGUAUUCUGAACAGAACAACCCUGCCAAGAUAAAGGGACUAAGAAGUAUAUUAAGUACCGAAUUUUCAGAUUGAAAAGAGAAUCAAUAUUUAAGGGAAAAACUGCAAAUACAAUACCUGUAUACACAUGGAUUUUCUGUAUAGAACAAGUAGUAUCAUCAUGAAUCUCAAAUGAAGACAAUGGCCUGUCAACUAUAUGAAGCUUCUAGUUAGAUCAAUCCAUAACAGAGCAAGAAGAUCUAAACACACGUUCAUAUGAGAGCUAACUGCUUCAUUUUCUUUUGCAAGGGAGAGAGUUAGCUAUUUCUCAACUACAAAAGCUAAUCAUCCUGGGAAUGCCUUUGGUGAUAUAAUUUGUACCUGAAAAUUAAUCACCUAAUUUCCUAAUUUUUAUGUGGAAAUCAGUGGUGGCACAAAAGCAGCUCAAAACUGAUAGGAAACUCUACAAUUAGUACAUGAAGGAUUUACUUCAACUCCAACAUGAGGUAUAUCUACUUUAAAUCCACACCUUAAAUAAACAAUGAGCACGCCUCGGUGAAUUCCAUCAAAGAAACGACCAGUGUUUUACAAGACAAACCCAAAAAAAUUAAAAGCCAGCACCCUCAACAAGCAAAUGUUGAGCCAGCAGAUUGGAGCAACCAGGUAGCCACGCAGGGGCCUGCGCAAACAGCCGCAACACAAAUUAGAUGCAACAAUUCGAGAAACAAGCAUACCAAAGUAAAAGCACGGCUACAACAGCUAAAUGUACCAGACUAAGUUCAUAUUAUAGAAAAAAUGAAACCAAAUUUUCCUACCGAACAGGGGAAGGAAUGCAAAGAUGACAGGAAAGUCACAAUAUGCAUUUUAAAUCCAUACCUAGAUGAUAGGGAAGUCACAAUAUGCAUACUAAACAGACAGAAAUCCCAAAAAUAAUUCCGCUUACCUCUAGUAGGAAAUUUUAGCCGCACCUCCAGAAUCCACAUUAAGUAGUAACAUUACAAUAAUGUUUGGAGGAGCUACUAUCUGCAUGUACGACUCUGAGUAACAGAACCAGAGAGCUUUUCUGAACAAUACAAGUGUAUUUGCAGUUAGAUUUGCUCAUCAUGCAUUGCG